UUGGAGCAGAUAAUUAAGGUAUUACAAUUAGGUAUAUAUCUUAACAUUUUCAGGAUUUAGGGAUUGGGUCCUUCUGUAUUGAUUUAAGCAGAUUUUUGAAAUCAGAGUGUUACUCAUCUUAUUAAGCUCAUGCUUUUAUAUUUUUGUAUUCAUAUGCAAUACAUCAAUAUGCAAGCACAUAUAGUCAUGUCCAUGUAUGUUUUCAUUGCAGAAGACACACAUAGAGAAGUGCAGAUAUUAUUUGUGGAGUUUUCAUUUCAAAUAUACACCAAUCUAAAUGGAUUAUUAGGCUUUGAUAUUUGAUAUCCUUUUAUGAAAAAAGAUGUUCUGUGGGUUGAUGUGUGUGUAUGUGUGAGAGAGAGGGAGAGAGAGAGAAGGAGAACUUCCUGUAAUUGAAUCUGCACUUAACUAAAUUUGAAUUUGUGAAAAACUAAAUAUGCGCUCUGAACUGCACAAUACUGCACAUUACAGGAAGGUUUUCAUUGCAGAAGACACAUAUAGAGAGAAGUGCAGAUAUUAUUUGUGGAGUUUUCAUUUCAAAUAUACACCAAUCUGAUGGUUUUUAAGACCCUAGUGAAUUUCAAUUCUCAGUGGUGACCUAAAUGAAGUAGUUUGUGCAUUUUGUGCCAUGUUUCUUAACUUUCCCUUAUUUUUCGGUGUUUCAUAAAAUUUGCUGGAAAUAGUGUGGUUACCACCGGCUCUGUAUGAAAAAUUUUGCAGAAAAAUGCUUUUGAAAUGAGGCUCAUCUAAGAUUCCACCGGCUCUGAUGGUUUUUAAGACCCUAGUGAAUUUCAAUUCUCAGUGGUGACCUAAAUGAUGUAGUUUGUGCAUUUUGUGCCAUGUUUCUUAACUUUCCCCUAUUUUUUGGUGUUUUCAUAAAAUUUACUGGAAAUAAUGUGGUUACCACCGGCUCUGUAUGAAAAAUUUUGCAGAAAAAUGCUUUUGAAUGGGGCUCAUCUAUGAUUCCACACUCAGAGGAUGCCAUUCAAGUGACCCAACAUGUUGCAAACUUUUUAAUCAGGUGAAGACUUUAUUAUUGCUGAGAAGUUGCUAAUUAACAUAUGUGCAAUAUUAAUAUUUUGUUCAAGGAAACAGGCAGUGCGGCAAAAGGAUUUUUUUUUUUUUUGACAUUUUAAACGUACAUGACACCCUCUGUGAAUCACAUGUAUCAUAAAUGUUUACAUGAGGCAGCAUGAUUAGCUUUGCUGUAUUGUUUGCAUUGAGAAAUGAAGUCAAAGAUUGUCCUGAAAUAUGAAGCAAAGAAAUGAACAUGUCAGUGGAAAUAGCUGUAUUGUUCGCUAUUAGAUGAUACAGGGGA
rnacentral:lncRNA from 1 species